rnacentral:rRNA from 1 species
AUUGAACGCUGGCGGCAUGCCUUACACAUGCAAGUCGAACGGCAGCGCGGACUUCGGUCUGGCGGCGAGUGGCGAACGGGUGAGUAAUACAUCGGAACGUACCCUGUUGUGGGGGAUAACUAGUCGAAAGAUUAGCUAAUACCGCAUACGACCUGAGGAUGAAAGUGGGGGACCGCAAGGCCUCACGCAGCAGGAGCGGCCAAUGUCUGAUUAGCUAGUUGGUGGGGUAAAGGCCCACCAAGGCGACGAUCAGUAGCUGGUCUGAGAGGACGAUCAGCCACACUGGGACUGAGACACGGCCCAGACUCCUACGGGAGGCAGCAGUGGGGAAUUUUGGACAAUGGGGGCAACCCUGAUCCAGCAAUGCCGCGUGUGUGAAGAAGGCCUUCGGGUUGUAAAGCACUUUUGUCCGGAAAGAAAUCGCGCUGGUUAAUACCUGGCGUGGAUGACGGUACCGGAAGAAUAAGCACCGGCUAACUACGUGCCAGCAGCCGCGGUAA